rnacentral:rRNA from 1 species
GGUUAAGCGACUAAGCGUACACGGUGGAUGCCCUGGCAGUCAGAGGCGAUGAAGGACGUGCUAAUCUGCGAUAAGCGUCGGUGAGGUGAUAUGAACCGUUAUAACCGGCGAUUUCCGAAUGGGGAAACCCAGUGUGUUUCGACACACUAUCAUUAACUGAAUCCAUAGGUUAAUGAGGCGAACCGGGGGAACUGAAACAUCUAAGUACCCCGAGGAAAAGAAAUCAACCGAGAUUCCCCCAGUAGCGGCGAGCGAACGGGGAGGAGCCCAGAGCCUGAAUCAGUGUGUGUGUUAGUGGAAGCGUCUGGAAAGGCGCGCGAUACAGGGUGACAGCCCCGUACACAAAAAUGCACAUAUUGUGAGCUCGAUGAGUAGGGCGGGACACGUGGUAUCCUGUCUGAAUAUGGGGGGACCAUCCUCCAAGGCUAAAUACUCCUGACUGACCGAUAGUGAACCAGUACCGUGAGGGAAAGGCGAAAAGAACCCCGGCGAGGGGAGUGAAAAAGAACCUGAAACCGUGUACGUACAAGCAGUGGGAGCCUCUUAAUGGGGUGACUGCGUACCUUUUGUAUAAUGGGUCAGCGACUUAUAUUCUGUAGCAAGGUUAACCGAAUAGGGGAGCCGAAGGGAAACCGAGUCUUAACUGGGCGUUAAGUUGCAGGGUAUAGACCCGAAACCCGGUGAUCUAGCCAUGGGCAGGUUGAAGGUUGGGUAACACUAACUGGAGGACCGAACCGACUAAUGUUGAAAAAUUAGCGGAUGACUUGUGGCUGGGGGUGAAAGGCCAAUCAAACCGGGAGAUAGCUGGUUCUCCCCGAAAGCUAUUUAGGUAGCGCCUCGUGAAUUCAUCUCCGGGGGUAGAGCACUGUUUCGGCAAGGGGGUCAUCCCGACUUACCAACCCGAUGCAAACUGCGAAUACCGGAGAAUGUUAUCACGGGAGACACACGGCGGGUGCUAACGUCCGUCGUGAAGAGGGAAACAACCCAGACCGCCAGCUAAGGUCCCAAAGUCAUGGUUAAGUGGGAAACGAUGUGGGAAGGCCCAGACAGCCAGGAUGUUGGCUUAGAAGCAGCCAUCAUUUAAAGAAAGCGUAAUAGCUCACUGGUCGAGUCGGCCUGCGCGGAAGAUGUAACGGGGCUAAACCAUGCACCGAAGCUGCGGCAGCGACGCUUAUGCGUUGUUGGGUAGGGGAGCGUUCUGUAAGCCUGUGAAGGUGUGCUGUGAGGCAUGCUGGAGGUAUCAGAAGUGCGAAUGCUGACAUAAGUAACGAUAAAGCGGGUGAAAAGCCCGCUCGCCGGAAGACCAAGGGUUCCUGUCCAACGUUAAUCGGGGCAGGGUGAGUCGACCCCUAAGGCGAGGCCGAAAGGCGUAGUCGAUGGGAAACAGGUUAAUAUUCCUGUACUUGGUGUUACUGCGAAGGGGGGACGGAGAAGGCUAUGUUGGCCGGGCGACGGUUGUCCCGGUUUAAGCGUGUAGGCUGGUUUUCCAGGCAAAUCCGGAAAACCAAGGCUGAGGCGUGAUGACGAGGCACUACGGUGCUGAAGCGACAAAUGCCCUGCUUCCAGGAAAAGCCUCUAAGCAUCAGGUAACAUCAAAUCGUACCCCAAACCGACACAGGUGGUCAGGUAGAGAAUACCAAGGCGCUUGAGAGAACUCGGGUGAAGGAACUAGGCAAAAUGGUGCCGUAACUUCGGGAGAAGGCACGCUGAUAUGUAGGUGAAGCGACUUGCUCGUGGAGCUGAAAUCAGUCGAAGAUACCAGCUGGCUGCAACUGUUUAUUAAAAACACAGCACUGUGCAAACACGAAAGUGGACGUAUACGGUGUGACGCCUGCCCGGUGCCGGAAGGUUAAUUGAUGGGGUUAGCGGUAACGCGAAGCUCUUGAUCGAAGCCCCGGUAAACGGCGGCCGUAACUAUAACGGUCCUAAGGUAGCGAAAUUCCUUGUCGGGUAAGUUCCGACCUGCACGAAUGGCGUAAUGAUGGCCAGGCUGUCUCCACCCGAGACUCAGUGAAAUUGAACUCGCUGUGAAGAUGCAGUGUACCCGCGGCAAGACGGAAAGACCCCGUGAACCUUUACUAUAGCUUGACACUGAACAUUGAGCCUUGAUGUGUAGGAUAGGUGGGAGGCUUUGAAGUGUGGACGCCAGUCUGCAUGGAGCCGACCUUGAAAUACCACCCUUUAAUGUUUGAUGUUCUAACGUUGGCCCCUAAUCGGGGUUGCGGACAGUGUCUGGUGGGUAGUUUGACUGGGGCGGUCUCCUCCUAAAGAGUAACGGAGGAGCACGAAGGUUGGCUAAUCCUGGUCGGACAUCAGGAGGUUAGUGCAAUGGCAUAAGCCAGCUUGACUGCGAGCGUGACGGCGCGAGCAGGUGCGAAAGCAGGUCAUAGUGAUCCGGUGGUUCUGAAUGGAAGGGCCAUCGCUCAACGGAUAAAAGGUACUCCGGGGAUAACAGGCUGAUACCGCCCAAGAGUUCAUAUCGACGGCGGUGUUUGGCACCUCGAUGUCGGCUCAUCACAUCCUGGGGCUGAAGUAGGUCCCAAGGGUAUGGCUGUUCGCCAUUUAAAGUGGUACGCGAGCUGGGUUUAGAACGUCGUGAGACAGUUCGGUCCCUAUCUGCCGUGGGCGCUGGAGAACUGAGGGGGGCUGCUCCUAGUACGAGAGGACCGGAGUGGACGCAUCACUGGUGUUCGGGUUGUCAUGCCAAUGGCACUGCCCGGUAGCUAAAUGCGGAAGAGAUAAGUGCUGAAAGCAUCUAAGCACGAAACUUGCCCCGAGAUGAGUUCUCCCUGACCCUUUAAGGGUCCUGAAGGAACGUUGAAGACGACGACGUUGAUAGGCCGGGUGUGUAAGCGCAGCGAUGCGUUGAGCUAACCGGUACUAAUGAACCGUGAGGCUUAACCUU